rnacentral:misc_RNA from 1 species
AAAAAAAAAAAAAAAACUUGAAGAUAUCUUGUUAAUAUGUUCAUCCUCUACUCUGUUCUUGUCUGGUUGGAUAAUAUGCCUUGCAUUCUAUGUGCUGUACGGACUACUAUUGAAUGAAAAAUGGUAGUUCAGAAAAAUUUGGGGCUUGAGGAGAAUCUUCUUGGAUCAGUCCUUUUUAGUGAAGUUGGAUUAGUGAAAUCCUCUUGACGUUCAGGUGCUUGCAUUGCUCAUAUAGUCAGAAAUUUCCAGUUAUGGUUCUUUACAUUUGCUUGUCUCUGUGCAUAGAGGAAUAUUCUCAUGGAGUAAAAUGCCAUUACUUCUUAUGAAUUAUCCCAAUUGAAUUAUGUGCCCUUGGCGUUGUGUUUUG